ncrna:unclassified sequences type-P1 twister ribozyme
AAAUUAAUGCAACUGUCAUAAAACAGCAGUGGCAAGUCCGUAUAAAUGCAGAGACAACA